rnacentral:rRNA from 1 species
UACGUAGGGUGCGAGCGUUGUCCGGAAUUAUUGGGCGUAAAGAGCUUGUAGGCGGUUUGUCGCGUCUGCUGUGAAAAUCCGGGGCUCAACCCCGGACUUGCAGUGGGUACGGGCAGACUAGAGUGUGGUAGGGGAGACUGGAAUUCCUGGUGUAGCGGUGGAAUGCGCAGAUAUCAGGAGGAACACCGAUGGCGAAGGCAGGUCUCUGGGCCACUACUGACGCUGAGAAGCGAAAGCAUGGGGGAGCGAACAGG